GGGCAUUGCCAACACAUAACACAGGAUCAGAAGCUAACCAAAUAAACUAUUUAAGGCUCCGUUGUCGUGAAAUUGGAACCACUAGCUAUCGAGUGAAAGUAUACCGAUGCAUGCAUCGAACAGCCGUAGGAUAAAAUCAGCUGUCUUCUAAUUUCUAUUGAAUGUUUCGACUAAAUAGCUAAAGUCCAAAAACAUGUAUUAGAAUAUAUGUGUUUUCCUGUCUUUUAGUUUGAUUUUUUUGUUUACCAAACACUUUUUUUUUGUUAUUGUGCUCUUGAACUUACCGAACAAUGGCUCAGGGUAAAGUAAUAAAUGUAAUAGAUUUUCCAUCGGGAGUAAAAUUGAGUUAAUCCCCAAAACAAGGUCAGAAGAUUUGAAUAAUCAUUUUAACUGCUUGCUAGUUAAACACAGGACCAAAUAGUGCCCGAGUAAAAAACAAUAUGAAUAUUUGUAGGAUUCAAACGGGUCACCUUCUGUAAGACACAGGUACUAUCCCAGCUUUGUACUGAGCAAUUUGUUCAAACACAGGCUGAGAGAGGUCAAAAUGUUGCUGGGGAGGAUUGCACCAGCCACCGGCAUUGUUUGGGAGAGCAUUAUUUGGAGGGCAAAAAUUUGUGGCAGUAACAAAAAUGGAGCCCGGACGGCACCAUCUUGGGUCAUUAACACACUUGAUCUCAAAACAAGCCCCACAGCUCAUGCCAUUGUUGAAAAGUGCAGUGCUCAGAGCUGCUGUGUUUGUCCCAUAUCCCUCGCUGUAUAAGUUUCCAUACCCACAAGCGCCACC
rnacentral:lncRNA from 1 species